rnacentral:sRNA from 1 species
CAACAAUGACGGCCAAAGACACUAGGCAACCACGCAAUUAGAAGAUAAUUUUGAAACAAAUAUAUGGUCCCACAAGGUACUUUAUUGUUGCAGUACGGAAACUGAACUUAAAUUUCUUGUUGCGGUAAGAGCAUACUUCAAUUCGCCACGACCAAUCUAAGAUGAUUUCUCCGAGUUUAUACUUCCAAUACUUCCCGUUAGCGCCGAUUGGUCCACAAACAAUUACAAAUAUUACGAUUUAAGGAAGAAUUAACAUCUUUAAAUACUCUGUUUAAUAGUCUCGCACAGUCCGAUUGAAUAACCACGCUUUGCAUGCAUUGUGUACCUAUCUGUUUAUACCUAA